UACGUAGGGUGCGAGCGUUGUCCGGAAUUAUUGGGCGUAAAGAGCUUGUAGGCGGUUUGUCGCGUCUGCCGUGAAAAUCCGGGGCUCAACCCCGGACUUGCGGUGGGUACGGGCAGACUAGAGUUCGGUAGGGGAGACUGGAAUUCCUGGUGUAGCGGUGAAAUGCGCAGAUAUCAGGAGGAACACCGGUGGCGAAGGCGGGUCUCUGGGCCGAUACUGACGCUGAGGAGCGAAAGCGUGGGGAGCGAACAGG
rnacentral:rRNA from 1 species